rnacentral:tRNA from 1 species
GUUUGUAGCUCAGUGGUAAAGUGUUAGCCUAGCACGUAUGAGCACUGGGUUCAAGCCUGAGCACAACA